UGAAUCUAAAGUCUCGCAUCUUCAUAGAAAAUAGCUUACUUUCGCGUGGAUUUACCGUGUCGACAGUAUAGUAGAUACUUAUGAGAUUUAGGUAACUUUAUGUAUCUCCAUCGCUCGGUUUCUGCGCGCGCAUGCGCUGUGGGGGGCGCGUCGCGGUUGCGUGGUCAACGGUCAUCACCUCAGAUUCGGUUAACUGUUGGACUUGGCGAUCAUAUAGAUAAUUUAGAUAUAGUUCAUAAAUUGUUGCUGAAUUUCUUGUACAUCUCUCAAGGCUUUUACAAUGAUCCACUGUACACCAGUGAGGGAAGGAAGUUUCUGUUGAUGAGGUCACUGUUCGAGCUUGUCUUGGCCAAUGAAUAUCUGGAGCUCACAGAUCCAAAGUUGCUUGGAUGGUUCCUAUGUUUAACAGCAGAGGACAGAACCUUAAUUAAAAAAGAGGGAGGGCUUCUGCCAUUUUUACAGAAACACCCGGCACUUCAAGUAGAC
rnacentral:lncRNA from 1 species